ACUUAGUCCUGCGGCCGAGGUUCCCUGUUCCCCCGGAUGGGAGGGAUCAAAGGCGAAGCCGGUGCAAGUCCGGCGCUGCCGCGCAACUGUGAGCCCAGGGCGUUGAGCCCUUGGCAAGCCAGGUCGCCCGCCUCGGUCGCGUUCCCAAA
rnacentral:ncRNA from 2 species